rnacentral:rRNA from 1 species
CGGUAGAAUACGUUCCCGGACCUUGUACACACCGCCCGUCAAGCCAUGGAAGCUGGGUGUACCUAAAGUCGAUAACCGUAAGGAGUCGCCUAGGGUAAAACUAGUAACUGGGGCU